rnacentral:rRNA from 1 species
CCUACGGGAGGCAGCAGUGAGGAAUAUUGGUCAAUGGGCUUACGCCUGAACCAGCCAAGUCGCGUGAGGGAAGACUGCCCUAUGGGUUGUAAACCUCUUUUGUCAGGGAGCAACGCCGGCUACGUGUAGCCGGACUGAGAGUACCUGAAGAAAAAGCAUCGGCUAACUCUGUGCCAGCAGCCGCGGUAAUACGGAGGAUGCGAGCGUUAUCCGGAUUGAUUGGGUUUAAAGGGUGCGUAGGCGGAAUGCCAAGUCAGCGGUAAAAUCGCGGGGCUCAACCUCGCGCCGCCGUUGAAACUGGCGUUCUUGAGUGGGCGAGAAGUAUGCGGAAUGCGUGGUGUAGCGGUGAAAUGCAUAGAUAUCACGCAGAACUCCGAUUGCGAAGGCAGCAUACCGGCGCCCAACUGACGCUGAAGCACGAAAGCGUGGGUAUCGAACAGGAUUAGAUACCCCGGUAGUC